UCAGUUUAGAGAAAUUGGAAAUUCACACUAGGGCUUGGAGAAAAGAGAAAAGAGGAAAAAGGAGAAGAAAAGCUCAAGAUUCGCCAAGAUCGUGCGAUUUGGUUGUGGAUUUCGCCGUUUAAUUAAACUUACAAGGUAUGUGAGGCUUUCAUAACAUUGUGUUCAUUCACCCACGUUCCAAACAUGUUUAUUUCAGUGUGAAUUCGUAUUAAAAGAGUUUGAGAGUUGAUGUUCUUGA
rnacentral:lncRNA from 1 species